rnacentral:rRNA from 1 species
GGACCCGAACCCGGGUGAUCUAACCAUGGUCAGGUUGAAGCUUAGGUAAUACUAAGUGGAGGACCGAACCGACUGAUGUUGAAAAAUCAGCGGAUGAAUUGUGGUUAGGGGUGAAAUGCCAAUCGAACUCGGAGCUAGCUGGUUCUCCCCGAAAUGCGUUUUGGCGCAGCGGUAGAUGUUAUAGCUUAGGGGUAAAGCACUGUUACGUAUGCGGGCUGGUAAUUCGGUACCAAAUCGUUGCAAACUAAGAAUACUAAGUGUACAGUCUACCAGUAAGACUGUGGGGGAUAAGCUCCAUUGUCAAGAGGGAAACAGCCCAGAGCACCAGUUAAGGCCCUUAAAUAAUUACUAAGUGAUAAAGGAGGUGGGAGUGCAUAAACAAUCAGGAGGUUUGCUUAGAAGCAGCAAUCCUUUAAAGAGUGCGUAAUAGCUCACUGAUCGAGUAAACCUGCGCCGAAAAUGAACGGGACUAAGUAAUUUGCCGAAACUGUGCGAUAUAUUUAAAUAUAUCGGUAGGGGAGCGUUCUGUUGUAGGUCGAAGUAUUAGCGUAAGCGGAUAUGGACGAAGCAGAAGUGAGAAUGUCGGCUUGAGUAACGAAAAUAUAGGUGAGAAUCCUAUACCCCGAAAACCCAAGGUUUCCUCCGGAAGGCUCGUCCGCGGAGGGUAAGUCAGGACCUAAGGCGAGGCUGAAAAGCGUAGUCGAUGGACAACUGGUUAAUAUUCCAGUACCAUUUUUUAUUGACAACGAGGGACGGAGAAGGUUAAGCCAGCCGGAUAUUGGUUACCGGUUUAAGCGUUCGAGAUGUUGAGAAGCGGCGAAAACGCUUUGAGUUGAGACGUGAGUACGAGACGCUAAGGCGUCGAAGUGGUGUAUAUCAGACUUCCAAGAAAAGCUUGCACUGUCAUAAAUAAAGAAUGCCUGUACCAUAACCGACACAGGUGGGUAGGUAGAGUAUACUAAGGGGCGCGAGAUAACUCUCUCUAAGGAACUCGGCAAAAUAACUCCGUAACUUCGGGAGAAGGAGUGCCUUAUUUAUAAGGCUGCAAUAACAAGAUCCAAGCAACUGUUUAUCAAAAACACAGGUCUCCGCUAAGUCGUAAGACGAUGUAUGGGGGCUGACGCCUGCCCAGUGCCAGAAGGUUAAAGAAGUUGGUUAGCAUUAGCGAAGCUGAUAACUGAAGCCCUGGUGAACGGCGGCCGUAACUAUAACGGUCCUAAGGUAGCGAAAUUCCUUGUCGGGUAAGUUCCGACCCGCACGAAAGGCGUAAUGAUUUGGAUACUGUCUCGGAGAGGGGCUC